AUUGAACGCUGGCGGCAUGCUUUACACAUGCAAGUCGAACGGUAACAGGCCGCAAGGUUCUGACGAGUGGCGAACGGUUGAGUAAUUCAUCGGAACGUGCCCAGUCGUGGUGGAUAACUACUCGUAAGAGUAGCUAAUACCGCAUACGAUCUAUGGAUUAAAUCGGUGUACCGUAUUUCCUCGCGCGAUUUUUUCUUCCGAUGUCAGAUUAGUUAGUUGGUUUGGUAAAGGCUCACCAAGCCAACGAUCUGUAGCUGGUCUUUGAGGACGACCAGACACACGGGGACGGAGAAAAGGAAAAGAGAACUAAGGGAGGCAGCAGAGGGGAAGAGUGGACAAGGGGGGAAAGCAUGAUAAAGCAAGGCCGAGGGCAGGAAGAAGGACUUCGGGUUGUAAACUGCUUUUGUAAGGAACGAAACGGAUCUGGAUAAAACACGGGGAUAAUGACGGUAACGUAAGAAUAAGCACCGGCUAACUACGUG
rnacentral:rRNA from 1 species